ACCCUUCUUUAGAGAAGGAGACUUGAGCCUGAAUCCAAUUUCCUCAUCAGAGGAAGCAUCCUUUUUGGAGUAUUUCAAUGUCUGAGUCCUUAUUUUUGAUAGGGAAGAAGCACACAAACGACAGAGAAAGUACACAUUCUUUCUCAGUGGAGGACACUGUCUCAAAUCUUUCACAGACGGAGUUGAAGAAUCUAGAAUCGGUGUGGGACAAUGUGCCUGGCUCCAUUUCCCAAGACCCCCUACAGAUUGGAAACAGUCUCAAAAAAGUGUGCACUGAGAUCCACUGUCUGUUCCAUAACCAUUGGCAGGGAAGCUUCAAGGAGCCAUUAUGUUGCUGUAGAGAGCCAAGGACGAAAAGUCACGAGACCUAGGUCUUUGCCCAGGUGGUAUAAUGACCUUGUUUUUCAAGCUACGAUUUAAUGCAGUCCUUUGCCAUAUGACCCUGCAAUCCCACUGCUGGGUAUAUAUCUGAAGAAAAACAUGAUCUGAAAGGAUACAUGCACCUCAGUGUUCACUGCAGCAUUCUUUACAAUAGACAAGACAUGGAAGCAACCUUAAUGUCCAUCGACAGAGGAAUGGAUAAAGAAGACGUGGUAUAUAUAUAUAUAUACAAUGGAAUAUUACUCAGCCAUAAAAAGAAUGAAAUAAAGACAUUUGCAGCAACAUGGAUGGACCUAGAGAUUGUCACACUGAGUGAAGUAAGUC